rnacentral:rRNA from 1 species
GGUUAAGCGACUAAGCGUACACGGUGGAUGCCCUGGCAGUCAGAGGCGAUGAAGGACGUGCUAAUCUGCGAAAAGCGUCGGUAAGGUGAUAUGAACCGUUAUAGCCGGCGAUGUCCGAAUGGGGAAACCCAGUGCAAUUCGUUGCACUAUCGUUUGAUGAAUACAUAGUCAAACGAGGCGAACCGGGGGAACUGAAACAUCUAAGUACCCCGAGGAAAAGAAAUCAACCGAGAUUCCCCCAGUAGCGGCGAGCGAACGGGGAGCAGCCCGGAGUCUGAAUCAGCUUGUGUGUUAGUGGAAGCGUCUGGAAAGUCGCAGGGUACAGGGUGAUACUCCCGUACACUAAAACACACAGGCUGUGAACUCGAAGAGUAGGGCGGGACACGUGGUAUCCUGUCUGAAUAUGGGGGGACCAUCCUCCAAGGCUAAAUACUCCUGACUGACCGAUAGUGAACCAGUACCGUGAGGGAAAGGCGAAAAGAACCCCGGCGAGGGGAGUGAAAAAGAACCUGAAACCGUGUACGUACAAGCAGUAGGAGCCUCUUUAUGGGGUGACUGCGUACCUUUUGUAUAAUGGGUCAGCGACUUAUAUUCUGUAGCAAGGUUAACCGUAUAGGGGAGCCGCAGGGAAACCGAGUCUUAACUGGGCGUUAAGUUGCAGGGUAUAGACCCGAAACCCGGUGAUCUAGCCAUGGGCAGGUUGAAGGUUGGGUAACACUAACUGGAGGACCGAACCGACUAAUGUUGAAAAAUUAGCGGAUGACUUGUGGCUGGGGGUGAAAGGCCAAUCAAACCGGGAGAUAGCUGGUUCUCCCCGAAAGCUAUUUAGGUAGCGCCUCGUGAACUCAUCUUCGGGGGUAGAGCACUGUUUCGGCUAGGGGGUCAUCCCGACUUACCAACCCGAUGCAAACUACGAAUACCGAAGAAUGUUAUCACGGGAGACACACGGCGGGUGCUAACGUCCGUCGUGAAGAGGGAAACAACCCAGACCGCCAGCUAAGGUCCCAAAGUCAUGGUUAAGUGGGAAACGAUGUGGGAAGGCCCAGACAGCCAGGAUGUUGGCUUAGAAGCAGCCAUCAUUUAAAGAAAGCGUAAUAGCUCACUGGUCGAGUCGGCCUGCGCGGAAGAUGUAACGGGGCUAAACCAUGCACCGAAGCUGCGGCAGCGACACUAUGUGUUGUUGGGUAGGGGAGCGUUCUGUAAGCCGUUGAAGGUGGCCUGUGAGGGUUGCUGGAGGUAUCAGAAGUGCGAAUGCUGACAUAAGUAACGAUAAUGCGGGUGAAAAACCCGCACGCCGGAAGACCAAGGGUUCCUGUCCAACGUUAAUCGGGGCAGGGUGAGUCGACCCCUAAGGCGAGGCCGAAAGGCGUAGUCGAUGGGAAACAGGUUAAUAUUCCUGUACUCGGUGUUACUGCGAAGGGGGGACGGAGAAGGCUAUGUUGGCCGGGCGACGGUUGUCCCGGUUUAAGCAUGUAGGCGGAUGUUCCAGGUAAAUCCGGAACGUUACUAACGCUGAGGUGUGAUGACGAGGCACUACGGUGCUGAAGUGACAAAUGCCCUGCUUCCAGGAAAAGCCUCUAAGCAUCAGGUAACAUCAAAUCGUACCCCAAACCGACACAGGUGGUCAGGUAGAGAAUACCAAGGCGCUUGAGAGAACUCGGGUGAAGGAACUAGGCAAAAUGGUGCCGUAACUUCGGGAGAAGGCACGCUGAUAUGUAGGUGAAGUGGUUUACCCAUGGAGCUGAAAUCAGUCGAAGAUACCAGCUGGCUGCAACUGUUUAUUAAAAACACAGCACUGUGCAAACACGAAAGUGGACGUAUACGGUGUGACGCCUGCCCGGUGCCGGAAGGUUAAUUGAUGGGGUUAUCCGUAAGGAGAAGCUCUUGAUCGAAGCCCCGGUAAACGGCGGCCGUAACUAUAACGGUCCUAAGGUAGCGAAAUUCCUUGUCGGGUAAGUUCCGACCUGCACGAAUGGCGUAAUGAUGGCCAGGCUGUCUCCACCCGAGACUCAGUGAAAUUGAACUCGCUGUGAAGAUGCAGUGUACCCGCGGCAAGACGGAAAGACCCCGUGAACCUUUACUAUAGCUUGACACUGAACACUGGUCCUUGAUGUGUAGGAUAGGUGGGAGGCUUUGAAGUGUGGACGCCAGUCUGCAUGGAGCCAUCCUUGAAAUACCACCCUUUAAUGGCUGGUGUUCUAACGUGGGCCCCUAAUCGGGGUUGCGGACAGUGUCUGGUGGGUAGUUUGACUGGGGCGGUCUCCUCCUAAAGAGUAACGGAGGAGCACGAAGGUCAGCUAAUCCUGGUCGGACAUCAGGAGGUUAGUGCAAUGGCAUAAGCUGGCUUGACUGCGAGCGUGACGGCGCGAGCAGGUGCGAAAGCAGGUCAUAGUGAUCCGGUGGUUCUGAAUGGAAGGGCCAUCGCUCAACGGAUAAAAGGUACUCCGGGGAUAACAGGCUGAUACCGCCCAAGAGUUCAUAUCGACGGCGGUGUUUGGCACCUCGAUGUCGGCUCAUCACAUCCUGGGGCUGAAGUAGGUCCCAAGGGUAUGGCUGUUCGCCAUUUAAAGUGGUACGCGAGCUGGGUUUAGAACGUCGUGAGACAGUUCGGUCCCUAUCUGCCGUGGGCGCUGGAGAAUUGAGGGGGGCUGCUCCUAGUACGAGAGGACCGGAGUGGACGCAUCACUGGUGUUCGGGUUGUCAUGCCAAUGGCAUUGCCCGGUAGCUAAAUGCGGAAGAGAUAAGUGCUGAAAGCAUCUAAGCACGAAACUUGCCCCGAGAUGAGUUCUCCCUGACUCCUUGAGAGUCCUGAAGGAACGUUGAAGACGACGACGUUGAUAGGCCGGGUGUGUAAGCGCAGCGAUGCGUUGAGCUAACCGGUACUAAUGAACCGUGAGGCUUAACCUU